rnacentral:hammerhead_ribozyme from 1 species
GGCUAGCAGUGGAAUCCCAAAUAGGACGAAAUGCGCAUCCUAGAU